rnacentral:rRNA from 1 species
CAGUCGCCGCGGUAAUACAGAGGGUGCAAGCGUUAAUCGGAAUUACUGGGCGUAAAGCGCGCGUAGGUGGUUUGUUAAGUUGGAUGUGAAAGCCCCGGGCUCAACCUGGGAACUGCAUCCAAAACUGGCAAGCUAGAGUACGGUAGAGGUUGGUGGAAUUUCCUGUGUAGCGGUGAAAUGCGUAGAUAUAGGAAGGAACACCAGUGGCGAAGGCGACCACCUGGACUGAUACUGACACUGAGGUGCGAAAGCGUGGGGAGCAAACAGGAUUAGAUACCCGCGUAGUCCCUGUCUCUUAUAC